UUCCACAGGCAUCUCUGGGGCUGGAAUGAGACCACCCCGAUCUUGUACAUGUCCUGGGACCAUAGUUCAUCUGGUAUGAAGUGUCAGAGCUUUGGUGACUGAUAAAGGAGGAACUUGGAAGGAGAAGAAUUCGUCAAUAUUUAUCCAACAGGGUCCAGGAGAGGCGGCUCUGAAUUGAGACAACUGGUCAAGCAGACAUUCAUCGAGCGUCUCUUAUGUGCCAGGCACCAGGAAAACAGUAGCAAGAAACAGCACACACAGCCCUGGACCUCACAGUGCUUACAGUCUGUUAGGGAGGCACCAUGAACAGAACAAUCUCACAGGCUGGCAGGGUCCGUGAGUCUGGAUUCUGCUCUGGCUGUGAUGCGCAGGGCCGCAUUCCCUGUGAAUGUGCUGGCAAAGAGUUCGCACAUCCCGUCUGCAUAUCCUGGACCAGGUACUGGCAGAACGUGAGUACCACGAGGACAGAGACUUUGGCUGAUUUUUCCACUCCUGUGGCCCCAGUGCCCAGAGCCGUGCGUGGCACAGAACGGAUCCAGAAGUUUCCAAGGCCAAGGCAGUGGAGUCUCUAGGGGACAAAUGCCAGCAUGAGUGAGUGUGCGUGUGUGUGUGUGUGUGUGUGUGUGUGUGUGUGAGCGUGCAUGUGCAUUUGGGACAGAGGACGGUGAGGUUCCCUGAGGGAAAUCGAGAACAAUCGUCACCCCUGGGGCUGUGGCUCCCCAGACUGCCUGGAUGUGUAAGUGAGGAGGCAGCGCCUCCUUUGCCUGGUGACCCUGGGUGGCUGGGCUGAACACAGGUCUUUCUCAGCACGCUUGAGCAUAGUCCAUCUGUCCCCAAGGAGGGACUGGGGUGCUCCGGCUGUUAUCCCACUUUGGAGGGACCCCGGGCCCAGGCCUACUUCAUAUUGGUGCCAUUUCUUCUUCCCUCUGUGGCACCGGCUCCCCUCCUCACUCUUGCCUUCCUGUCACCAGUGCCUGAUGGGCCCCCUCCCACCUGCAUUCCCUGUUGGCACCAAAUUUUCACACUUGUGGCUUUAGUGGUGCUGUAGGGUUCCCCCUGUCUCCUUAAGUGGGGUAGCAUAGCCUACUCGGGCUUUUGGUGCUCAGCCCCCCACCGCUGCCACUCUGGUCUUUGUCCUAGGCCCAGUGAAAGGGAUUCCAGAAAAAAGUUGCAGAGGCUCCCGCUCCUCCCACUGGGGAAGGGCCCUCUCAUUCUCCCCUCAUCCAACUCUCCCCCCAGCUGAGGGGCCCAGUGCCAGAGAAGCCUACUUGACUUCUGGGUGGGGAACCGCGGCUGGUAGGGAGGUUUGCAUAGACUCAGCUUUGGAUCCAGGCCCCCACCCAGACUCAGUGGGGUUACCUAGUGUUGGAAGGAUGCUCCCUAUCGGUUCAAGCCCCCCACCCUGUUUCCCCUGGGCCCUGCUCCCUAUACCUGGAAGGCCCACAACCACUGCCCCAUCCUCAGAGCUGUCAGAACCCCCAGUUCUAAAGCUCCCAACCCUGGCAGGACCCCAGAAUAUUUGCAAGUGAAGGAUUUCAGGGAUCAGAGGUUUAUGAAGUGCGUUGUUCAAAGUGCCCUGGGCUGAUCGGUGUGUGUGUGUGUGUGUGUGUGUCCGUGUGCAUGAGAUGGACUGGGCCCCCACUCCUAUUUUGACCACAGAACCCCAAACCUUUUUUUGUGUUACCAGUGGAGAGGCUACCUAAAUUACUAUUUAAACAA